CCGUCGGUCGUCAUCAUGGUUUCCGGACGAUAACUAGAGUUUGGAAUGAGGUAUUGUAAUCAAACUUGGUAUAUAGCAACCUUAUGUGGAAACUCCGGUUGGUAUUGCAUUUGGACCCCCUGGGGUCAAGGUCACCGUUACUAAAAAUAGAAAAAUGGUUUCCAGACAAUAACUUGAGUUAGGAAUGAGAUAUUGUAAUCAAACUUGGUGUAUAGCAAGCUUAUAUGAAGACCUGGGUUGGUAUUGUAUUUGGACCCCCUGGGGUCAAGGUCAAGGUCACCGUUACUAAAAAUAGAAAAAUGGUUUCCGGACAAUAACAGGAGUUAGGAAUGAGAUAUUGUUAUCAAACUUGGUGUAUAGCAAGCUUAUAUGAAGACCUGGGUUGGUAUUGCAUUUGGACCCCCUGGGGUCAAGGUCACCAUUACUAAAAAUAGAAAAAUGGUUUCCGGACAAUAACUAGAGUUAGGAAUGAGAUAUUGUUAUCAAACUUGGUGUAUAGCAAGCUUAUAUGAAGACUUUGGUUGGUAUUGCAUUGGUACCCCCUGGGGUUCAGGUCAAGGUCACCAUUCCUAAAAAUAGAAAAAUGGUUUCCGGACAAUAACUAGAGUUAGGAAUGAGAUAUUGUAAUCAAACUUUGUGAAAAGCAAGCUUAUUUGGAGACCCCAGUUGGGAUUACAAUUAAUUGAAAUAUUUUUUUGUACACAGUUGAUAGUUUGUGUUGAAAUUUUUCUUCAGGCUACUUUUUUUUCAAAAAGUUGCUGGUGGGGGUAUUAAUCACCUUCAGUGAUAGGUCUAGUUUUGGUUU